rnacentral:misc_RNA from 1 species
UAAUCUCAAUUCCCCUCAGGCUUUUCUUUUGAAAUACAAAUGAAAGGCCUGUUCAGGGUCAUUGGAUUUGGAGGUUUCAUGCAGGUUCCCCUCUUUGUAAGGGAAAUCAGCUCCUCUUAAAAAUAUUAGCUUGGAGGAUGAAGCAAAAUGACUCAGCAUUGUUCAUUGGCUUUUAUGGUGUAAUAAUUGUUUCAUCAUGCGCUAUACAGUGCACGGGAAAAUACAGUCCCGGGAGACUUUUUGUAGCAUUCUCUGCUUUCUAGUUUUGUCAGGUCUAUCUGGCAAUUCAUGUAUUCUU